rnacentral:rRNA from 1 species
UACGUAGGGUGCGAGCGUUGUCCGGAAUUCUUGGGCGUAAAGAGCUUGUAGGUGGCUCGUUGCGUCGGGAGUGAAAACCUGCGGCUUAACCGCAGGCCUGCUUCCGAUACGGGCGAGCUAGAGUUCGGCAGGGGAGACUGGAAUUCCUGGUGUAGCGGUGGAAUGCGCAGAUAUCAGGAGGAACACCGGUGGCGAAGGCGGGUCUCUGGGCCGAUACUGACACUGAGAAGCGAAAGCGUGGGGAGCGAACAGG